AGGGUCAGCUUACUGGAAACAAAAUUCUAGGAAGGUUUUUGCUGUGCCUGAACAACAGUUUUUGGAUAUGAGAUCCAAAAGGAGAAGAUUAAGCCAACGGGAUGAUGAUAGCCAGCUACCAGAGGUCUUUGAGAGAAUUGAAGAGGUGGUGUUGGCAUCCCAAGAACUGCCAGAGUUUGCACAGGCUAUAAGAGGCUUAUCUGAGCUGACGUUGACACGCAGCCGUUUUAUUACAUUCACGGACGAAGAACGUGCAUCUAUUAAAAAUGCAUUUGCUUGCAUAAUUUGCAAAGGGCCCAUGAAUGAUCCUGUUUUUGCAGUUUGCUGUCAGAGUCUCAUUGCAUGCAAAGUGUGCUUUGACCAGUGGCAGAGAAAUGCCAACACCUGUGUGAUAUGCAGAGGAGACAACUCAAG